rnacentral:rRNA from 1 species
GACGAACGCCGGCGGCGUGCCUAAUACAUGCAAGUCGAGCGCAGGAAACUGACGGAACUCUUCGGAGGGAAGGCAGUGGAAUGAGCGGCGGACGGGUGAGUAACACGUAAGGAACCUGCCUCAAGGAUUGGGAUAACUCCGAGAAAUCGGAGCUAAUACCGGAUAGUUCAACGGACCGCAUGGUCCGCUGAUGAAAGGCGCUUCGGCGUCACCUUGAGAUGGCCUUGCGGUGCAUUAGCUAGUUGGUGGGGUAACGGCCCACCAAGGCGACGAUGCAUAGCCGACCUGAGAGGGUGAUCGGCCACACUGGGACUGAGACACGGCCCAGACUCCUACGGGAGGCAGCAGUAGGGAAUCUUCCACAAUGGACGAAAGUCUGAUGGAGCAACGCCGCGUGAGUGAUGAAGGUUUUCGGAUCGUAAAACUCUGUUGUAAGGGAAGAACACGUACGAGAGGAAAUGCUCGUACCUUGACGGUACCUUACGAGAAAGCCACGGCUAACUACGUGCCAGCAGCCGCGGUAAAAC